rnacentral:rRNA from 1 species
CUACGUAGGUGGCAAGCGUUGUCCGGAUUUACUGGGCGUAAAGGGCGUGCAGGCGGUUCGUUAAGUUCGAGGUGAAAGCUCCCGGCUCAACUGGGAGAGGUCCCCGGAUACUGGCGGACUUGAGGGAGGCAGAGGAAAGUGGAAUUCCCGGUGUAGUGGUGAUAUGCGUAGAUAUCGGGAGGAACACCAGUGGCGAAGGCGGCUUUCUGGGCCUUACCUGACGCUGAGACGCGAAAGCGUGGGGAGCGAACCGGAUUAGAAACCCGAGUAGUCC